GUGAGUUACAGAGAUUUUCAGCAUCAAAGAGGACUGACUCCUCAUUCAGCCAGGCAGUGGAUCUAUAGAAAGGACAGGUUUGUCCUACUGUGAAAUGAAUCAAGCGGUUGAAGGUAGUGAUUAUCUGGCAGAGAAAACUGCUAAUGGAUGUCACCAGCUAUUAGAAAAGCUCAGGUGGUUCAAUUCUGGGAGAACAGCUUGCAUGGAGGGAGGGAGGAAAGACACCCAGCCAAGACGCCAGAUUUUACCACUUGCUGUUGUUCAUUACUAUGUAAUUCAGCCACAUCAUUUCAUGAAGGGUAAAGCAGACCACGCUACAAGUCAUUUGCCUUAAGUACACACAUCUUAGUACUUUGCUGAGUUAGAAUACUUACUCGUAUAUUGAAAUUGAAAUGUUAUGGCUCAAUUUGUGCUUAUUUUGAUGUGCAUAAUUAGUAUUCCGGGCAAAAGUACAAACUCAAAUUUAAAGUACAGACUCCUAUAACCAUACCUGAAUUUUGGAUCUCUUUCUUAUACAAACGGCCUAUAUAAAAGCUUUAAUUCUCAAUAUUCAGUGUGCUUCCUUUAUCUCAUGCAGAAGCUGUUUAGGGAGCUCAGGGUAAAAGAAUACAAAGCAAGAAAAAUCCUGUCA